UUUUCCUUCCCUCCAAUUUUUCUCUUCCCUCCACUUUUUCCCUCCGCUUAUUUAUCUAUUAUGAGCCUAAACUGCGUCGUUUUUCUUUUGGGUCCAUUAACACAAUAUUCCACUUUCCCAUUUCAAUUUCAUUUAGCCCUAAUUUCCGUCUCCCUUUUCGUUCGUCACUCAACCUUCUCUUCCUCUCUACUCUAUCCCGAUCGCUACUCCGUCUCGAUCUCUCACUGCUCGAUCUUCAUUUCUCAGCUGAAGCACUUCUUCAGCUCAUCGUAGGCUCUCUCUCUCUCUCUCUCUCAACCCUCUCUUUCUGUACCACCACCACCACCACCACCACCACCAUCCUCCCCUUCUUUCCACCUGCGUUUCAGAGUACCUCAAAUUUAGAUUCUCUCUCUUCCCCUCACGGAUCCUACUCAUCCUCUCUCUCUUGGUGGUAAAUACCCCCCUUUCUCUCUAUAUUAUAUAUAUAUAUAUAUAUAUACACUAUACAUGUUUGCUUUUCUUGUUCUUUAAUAAAAGAAACAGAAAAUUAGAAUCUAGGGUUUGUAACACAAGAAAUGCUGGAUAUGUUGUUAUUGAGCCAGAUAUCUGAAAUUAGGGUUUGAAACGCUAGGAGGGUCCUUCGUUUUCUUAUUUACUGUAUUCGAUGCUAUGCCUAAACUAUAUUAAUUAAGAAGUUUUGAUCAAUUGUUUGAGGGUUUUUAUUCAUGUGCAUCUGUUUGUUUGAUUUACGUACUUUGUCCAUCAGUAAAUUUUUGUACCUGCAAGCAGUCUCUUUGAUAGUAAUUUUCUUUUUGUUUUUAUGAGAGAUAUAUCCACUACAAGAAAAGUGGAUUUUUAUGACAUUUUAUUUACGGUUUCUUUAUUUUGUCUCGUGGUUGGUGUAUAAAGGGACAUGUUUUCACGGGAAUUUAGCAAGAUCCUCGUUGAAAAUGUUUUUUACGGUGUUUUAUAAUCCUCGUGGAUAUAUAAAUAUAUUAAAGACAGUCUUGUUCAACUUUAACGGGAGAAAUAACCUUUGUUAAUAAAGUGUUAAAAUUUUACAUUUAAGGCAUAUUUUUUGUUCCGUGAAUAAGUAAAUUUUUACCUGGUCCAAUUAAAAUUGCACUCUCUUUUAUUUAAUUUUUAAUUUAUUAUUAUUAUUUUUUUAACGGCCUUCUUUUAAAAUCCUCGUGAAUAUUUAAUAACAUUUAAGGGACAUUUUUUGUCCUGUGAAUAAGUAAAAAGAAUUUCCCCCAGCACAAUAAAAAUUACAUUUACGGCGUUUUAGAGUCCUUGUGGAUAUUUAAUAACAUUUAAGGGAUAUUUUUUAUUCGGUGAAUAAGUAAAUUUUUACCUGCCCAAUUAAAAUUGCACUCUGUUUUAUUUUAUUUAUUAUUAUUAAUUUUUUAACGACCUUUUAAAAUUCUCGUGGAUAUUUAUAACAUUUAAAUGAUAUUUUUUUGUUCCGUGAAUAAGUAAAAAGACUUCCCUCCCUUCAAAUUGGACACAAUAAAAAUUGCAAUUUAUUUUUUUUAUUUUUUAUUUUUAACGACAUUUUAAAAUCCUUGUGAAUAUUUAAUAACAUUUAAGGCAUAUUUUUUUGUUCCAUGAAUAAGUAAAAAGACUUCCAACCCCUUAUUUUUUUACCCUUCCACCAAAUUGGGUACAAUUAAAAUUUCACUUUAUUUGGCGGGCACAAUUAAAAAUUUAUUUUAUUUUAUUAUUAUCAUUUUUUUAACGACCUUUUAAAAUUCUCGUAGAUAUUUAAUAACAUUUAAGGGAUAUUUUUUGUCCGUGAAUAAGUAAGACUUCCCACCAAAUUUUUUUACCCUCCCUCCAAAUUAUACACCAUUAAAAUUACACUUAAAAAAAUAUCUAUAAAUAAAUAGAAAAACCUAAUUCACAUUUCGCUAGCCUCAAACACAGAACAAACGCAGAAGGAGAGGGGAGAGACAAAUCAGAGGGGAGCAGCGACGAAGAAGAGGGGAGCGGCCACCAGCGAUAUUUCUUUUCCCUCUUUCAAUCAAACCUAACGUUUCUUUCCAUGAGCCUCUUUCAGUUGGCCAUCGAUCGAAGCAAGCGGCAAGCCCUAAGCCCUAAAUGCAUGGCUCAGAGACGAAAUCUGAAGAUUGUGUUUGAAUUUCUCUAACCUCUCUCGCCCUUUGUCUGAUCGGAAGGGAAAGUCUUGUUGGUGUUUGCUGGUUCAAUAAGUGAGAAUCUGAAGGAGGAGGAAACCCAGCUCUCUCUCUCCUCUCCUGAUGAGGUCUACCAUAGUGUCAAUAAUGGUUUGAGAGAUUUGCCUGCAGUUGAGCUAUCUACACUUCCUUUAAUACUGAAGUCAUUGCGUCACAUCAUGAAUAUCAACAUCAAGAUAGAAAUUUGCAGCUGUCACAUACCACCUUCUUCAGUGUGACCAACAUAAUUCAGCCUUUGUCUCGGUUUCCUUCGCAUUAGCAAUUAAGAAGGGGAUAAAUCGCUUUUGAUUGGCUAAUAUUCUUUAAAGGAAGGAUAAACAAUAAGUUGACAAUGAAACGAACGGUUAGUGAAGUGGAAAAAGUGAGUGAACAAAAUACUAAAGCUUCAACUUCAAAAUCAUCCCAACCACCGCCGAAGAAGAGACGGGGUCCGACACGAUGCAAGAAUGUCGUAAAUGCGACAACCUUAUUACCAUUAAGGGUUAAUAAGUUUGGAUAGCCGAUAGGCCCUAGAAGUGGUACAUAUACUAAUUAUUUGGGAACACUUUCUCGGAAUGCUAAUUUAGCUCCUUUGUGCUACAAAACUUGUUGGGAGAUGCCUAAACGGCUGAAGGAGGAUAUGUGGAACGUUGUAAAGGGAAAGUAUGAUGUGGGAAUCAUGUCAAAACAUUGGACCAUAUCCUCCAUCGGGAAAAAAAUGGAGGGAGUAGAAGUGUGAAUUAAAAAGUGAAUAUUACUCGAUUAGGGAUAUAGAUGCAGAAAGAUUGGCAAACCCACCGCCUGAUGUUGAAAAUGAGCUGAGACGACCCUGGUUUUUAGGCCAGCGUGUCCUAUGAUGAACCGAAGAUUGACCCGAUAACGGAUCCGAUAUGCGGAAGCGAAAAUAGAAAACAAGACUCUAAAAUGUCAAAAUGACUUUCCAUGAGGUCGUGGAACUUAAUGAGAUCUGACGCGGAAGUAAAAGACAAAAAAUAUGACAAAUAAGUCACCAGGGGCAAAAUAGCCAUUUCUAAAAACUGUGGACUAGGGUGCCACUAAGCACACCGCGGGAAGGACAACGAAAAACUAAUCAAGAUGGACUCAAGAAUCACUUGAUUCGGAGUCUGGAUGAAGAAAAUAUGAAACUUUUAAGUUUCAUAAAAUCAAACUUUUGGGUUUGAAAUCAAUGCGGCAAUGGUACUUUACAUGGGUUGAAAUGGUCCUUUUAGACCAAACUAGAUGCAACUGAGCAUAUUAUUAGAAAGACAGGAAAAAUUAAUGAAUUUAGACUCAAGAAUCACUUGAUUCGAAGUCCAGACGAAGAAGAUAUGAAACGUCAAAGUUUUAAAAAAAUCAUGUUUUGGGUUUAAAAACAGUGCGGCAUGGGUAUUUGAUAAGGGGUAAAAUAGUCUUUUCAGAUAUAAUUAGAUGCAACCGUGUAUACCGUUGGAUAGACAAGCAAAAUUUAAUAAACUUAGACUCAAAAAUCACUUGAUUUGGAGUCCGGAUGAUGAAGAUAUGAAGCCUCAAAGUUUCAAAAAAAUAGACUCACUUUUCGGGUCAAAAAUUUGGGUAUGAAUAGUGUUGUAACAGCAAGCCACAUUUGAUUUUUUUCCCAGAACUGAGGUUAUGAACGGACUCUUAAACGAGUUUUUCUGAAAAAACACGAAGAAGAAACCCUCCUUAAAAUCAUGUUUUCUACCCGACAUCAUGGAAGAAACAAAAAAAAAACACAAUGUAAAGCCCUUAAAAUGCUCUUUGAAUAGCGUAGGUCAAGGUGGACCCAAAAAGCUGCUACAUGAAAUUUUUCAGAAUCUGCCCACAACUGAGAGCAAAAACGAGUUAGAAGAUAAAUUUUUCUGGAAAAACACAAAGAAGAAACUUCCCUCAAAAUUGAGUUUUCUAUGUGAUUUGCGAGAUAAAUUAAAAAAAACGCAAUGUAGAAUGCCCGAAAUGCUCCUCUAUGAAAUUUGGUCAUGGAGGUCCAAAAAGCUUCUAAAAAAAAAAACAGAAAGCUGAACUUUGCCAUCGAUUUUCGGCACCAAGACGAAAUUUUCUGGAAAAACACGAAAAAGAAACCCCCCACUAAAAUCAUGUUUUCUAAGCGACCAUGUCAAAAGAAGAAAAUAAAACUGAUGUGAAAGGUCCAGAAUGCCCUUAGAUCAGAUUAUGCAAAAAAAAUGCGAAAUGAAUUCACAAGAGGCUCAAAACACAAAUGAUAAGGUUUUGCCCGGAAACGACCAUGCACGCAAACGUAACUUACCUAUUUGGACGGGCUACAAUAGUCCACGACUUAAAAAUACCACCGAUACAAAAUUCGACCUCCCAACGGGCAAAAAGGCAAAAAUGGAACUUGGAAUGAAAACUCGGAAUCCAGAAAUACAAAACGGGAUUAAAUGACCGUUUGGCCCUUGGCCACACUUCAAACAUGAUUUAUAAGACCCUAUGAAAGAAUGAAAACGGAAUUCCCACACCCGAUGCAACCAUGGUGAGACAAUGACUUGGCAUUUUUUAAUAUUUUCCUAAUAUUUUAAGAAGUUAGAAGUUACAAAAAAUUCAAUAUACAUGUCAAUGGCCUUCGGCCUCAUUUCAUACAUGUUGAAUACAUUGAAAGGAGUGUACUUAAGUACACAUUACAUACAUGGAAUCAAAGAAUACAACUUUUACAUAUAAGUCUACAAAAUGACAUUCAUGUUAACAUUUGCAUGAAAUGGAAACUUAAAAGCUACACGAUAUCCAAGGAAUGCUAAGCAUCACGAAUCAAGUUUUCAUACCUGAAAUAUGCCCCAGUAACGUAGGGGUGAGCAACAUAAAGCUACUCGUAGGAGAUGAGCAUGCAUCGACUUAACAUUUUACAAUUUCAUCACCUUAAGGUGAAACAUGUCAAAGGGGCUCAUGCCACCUAACGUCUAUGUCAAAGUGAGACUCAGGGCGCAUCCUAAGCUAUCAUGGAGCAUAAGCAAUAAGAAUCAUGAUACAUAUACACAUAUGAAACAAGUCAAGUUUGGGAUAAUCCAAAGAACACGAUAAGAAUUAUAUACGGAAUCAAGAAUAAGGCAUAAUAUCUAUGCAAGUAUACAAGGAUGGAACAUUCCAUAUAACAUGACAAUAAGUAUGCUCGGACAUAUGUUAACAAGAAUUACAUUAUCGAUGCAAUUAACAUGACAAGGAGUAUACUUGAAAUCACGAAUGGGGCAUAAUAUCUAUGUUCCAAUUGAAUCUAUAGGAUCAAUCCUAAACUACAUUAGAACAUUAAAACACAAAUUACAAUUUCAAUGCCAUCUAACCAACAUUAGAACUUCUAAUACAACGCAUAAAGCAUGAUUUCUCUAAGUUAACAUCUUGCAACUUAAAAUGGGAAAUCAACAAAGAAACAAGUCACAACAUCAUCUAGUUAUCAACUUGAAAUGAAAUGCGAAAUCAAAUAAAGUGAAUACAUAGACGUCACGCCAGAUCAAACCGACAAUAUGGUUACUUUAGGGUUACUAGCUCAUGGGUAACCUCCCUAUGUGCGCACUAGACUAUAUAGAUGGACUAUCCCCCGUACUAGAAUCACGUUCUAACCGUAGCCAAACAACGACAUUCCCAAGUUUUCAAAAUUAACAAAUUGUGCAACAACGUAUAUAUCAACAUGUAUAUACAAGAUAAUCAAUUAUCAACCAUGCACAACCAAAUUUGGAAACCUAUACAAUACAUGCUCUAAGUCCACAACUAAUAUGAUAUGAUGGAUGUCGAAUCUUCAGUGUGCGAUUCGUUACACGCUAUGCAUGAAAGAUGUUAAAUAUGAAGUGUACAAAUCAUUACACAAGGCAACAGUAUAUUCAAUAAGGAAAACAUAUUCUCAUGAGUAUAAACAUAGCAACUAUGUUAUCCAAUGCUCAAAACAUAACCAAAUGAAUAUACAACAAAUCCAAGUCCAUGAUUUGAAUAUAGAAACCACUUCUAAAACACAACUAGAUCAUAGAGCAAAUUGAUAGAACUUAAAUAGAUAAACACAAUUAAAUUCUCUAGAUUCCGAUUCAAUUCCAAAGAACCUCAAUUUAAUACAUGUUAAAGGACAUGGCAUGGUCAUCACCUAUAUCCAUUCUAAAACUUAAUUAGGUUGUUGGAACAACAAAGUAGAACUUUAAUUAAAUUAUACUAAUUUAAAUUCCAAGAUUCUAAAACAACUUUUAAUAGUCCCAAAUUAAUAUAUGCUAGUAAACAAGUCAUGAUCAAUACAAUUAUCAAGUUAAAAACUUAAUUAAGCUAAUGGGACCAUUAAAUAGAUUUUAAUUAAUUCUUUUAAUUAAAAUUUCUAGAUUUUCAAAUUUAACCAAAUGCUCUCAAUUUAACAUAUCUUAGAGAACAUGCCAAGGACUAAUGAAAUAUCACAUUACAAGUUUAUUUCAUUUAAUUUACGACCAUGUGAAUUAAACUUUAACUAAAGUUAAAUAUAAAAUAAAAGUCGCAAUUCUCAUACAAUUAAUCCUAAUUUAAUAUACGUGAACAACUAUACCAAAGCCUAAUUUUCUAACAUGCCACAAAUCAAUUCCAAGUUGUAUAUCACCAUGAGGAUUAAAUCUUAAAUAAGGAAAUUAAUUAAAUGAAAGGUUUCAAAACCUCACCGAAUAUUCUAAAUCAAAUAUAUGUGAAGCUAUAUGGCAUAUAGAUCAAGAAUAUCAAGUCGGAAUUCAAAUGGAGUAAAUAGUGCACUCAGGGCAAAUUAAUUAAUCAAGUUAAUUAAUAAUUACUAAUUUUUCAAAACAAUUCCGAUUUCUCUCAAUUUAAUUUAUGUUGAAGAGUAUGUUAGGGCCUAAUAUAAUAUACUAACACAUAUUGAUUUCAAGCUAGUUAAGGCCAUGUGAAUUAAUCUUUCACCUAAGAUAAAUAUUAAAUAAAAGCUUUAGUACUUAUUUAAAUGGUCUAAUUUUAAUACACGACUAUGAGCAUAUAAUGGGGCAAUAUAAUAUCAUGCUAUAUGUUUAAACCAAGUCAUGACCAAUCGGAAAAAUUAGAUCCCGUACAAAAAAAAUAAAUAAUGAAAUCUCUAGAUUUUAUAUUUAAUCAUGCAAACAAGUAGUAUAAGCAUCACAAGCAUACUAUAUAAUAAGAAUUUAAAUAUAGAACAUCCCCUACCUCAAUUUGAGAUGAAAAAAUUAAAUUCCUACUGAAACGAAAGUGCUCCGAAUCCGACGAUACCGAGAGGUUUUGUCGGGGACAACACUGUGAACAAGAAUCUGCAAGAAACCCCAUAAAAAUCCCAACUUGACUCCAAACCCGAACUCAAAAAAUCGUUGGAAAUGGAUUCUAAUAAGGGCAUAAGAUGCGCAGCGUCAAGACAAGCAUUAAACGUUAAGGCCGAAGACUUUUCAUCAAAGAAAAGUGAACCAAAAGAGGAGAGAGAAGAUGGCAGCCUUGGAAGGUUGUGGGACCUGGUCCAGAACAUGUGGGGAAGAAGAAGAAAAUUAUGUUUUAAUUUUUUAAAACCCCCUCUUUAUAGAAAAUCACAAAAAGUGCCCUGAAAGGGCCCCGCCGGAUCUGGAAAAGUGGAUUUUGAGCAGAUGCACUCAAAUGAAAAAACUCCAUAGACGAAAAAGAUUCAAAAUGAGAAAAUAUGAACAACGAAAGAAACGGCGUCAAAAACUGAGUCCCGAGCAGAAAGUUAUGCCCCGAACAAGUUCGGCAGCAACGGGGGCCAGAAAUCCCUAAAACUGGGGAAAACGACCAGAAGGAAAUUCUGAGAGUCCACGACUCGACGAAAUGUGAAAAUGAAUCCCGUAUGAGGAUCCAGGCUCCAGACGAGACAUUUUGCGAUAACUUUCGUUAAUUGCAUAAUGAUCCCUACAAAAAGGGUUAACUGCGAAACUGCCCCAGAAUGAAAAUAUCUUCCAAAAGAUGUUUUCUUAGAUACCCUUGAAAUAAAAUAUCUUCAAAAGAUAUUUACGAAAAACACCCCAAGAAAUGAAAAAGAUUCUAAAGAAUUGUGCAUCCAUCCCCCUGUGGGCACCGGAGCAACCAGAGUACUUUCUUGCAAAAGUAAAGAUACGUAUUUUGAGAAAACCACUCAAGAUGAAGGCACGUGAAGUCAAAAACCAACUCUGAGCAUGAGAAGCGAGGUUGUGCCAAAAAUUAAUAAACGAAGAUAAGACAGAAUAGGGAAAAGGACGAAAUAACGUAUAGUAUCGAAAAAUGAAAAAUGUGAAAAUGACUUAGUCCUCAAAGGAAAUUGUCAAUCCACAGAAAAGAGUCUCAGGAACCAAUUCCGAGCACUCGAGAUGACACUAAGCGACACGAAAUAGAGCUCAGAAAAAAAAAUUAAACGAAAAAAAUUCAUUCGUAAAAUUUCAGAAAAAAGGAAAGGAAGGCAAAUGACCGGGUCGUUACUGGAGCAUUGGGAAUUUUUGGUUAGGCAUUGGGGUACGCCUAUUGCGAAGGAGGUCAGUAAAAAAACAUAAAGAACGUCGUGGGAAGCAGACAAUGAUGCAUACUACAGGGACAAAAUGCUUUGCACGUGUUUCUGUCGAGAUUGAGGAAGACGAGGUAUUCAGCUUUCUCUUACAGAUUUAUUCAUUCGCACACAUGUAAAUAAGGAUGGCAAAGCUACUGAUGAUGCUACUUCGGAGAUGAUUUGUAUUAGGGGGUCACAUACCUUAAAGUGACCAAUUUUUAAAUCAUCGGCCCGUGUGGAGAAAACAUAAAAGUACUUCAAAAAAGUUACUCUGACUCUCCUAUUGGCACUUCCAAUGAUUUUUGCUCCAUUGUGAGGGGAGAAGAGAUAACUGGUCGUGUGCGGAUGCUUGGCUUCGGGCCUACACCAAGCGAUGUUUGGGGGCCCUCUCCUAGUAAAGCUGAACUGAUUAAUAAUGCAAAAAAAAUCUGAUGAGGAGGCACGUGCUGCACUCGUAAAGUUGCAGGAGACCAUUUCAAAAAUGCAAGCCGACUAUGACAAGUAGUUGGAAAAUUUACGAGCCAACUAUGAUGACAAGUUGGAAAAUUUACAACAACAGGUGGCUAUGCUAAUGCAGAUGCAACAACAAAAUUGUAGUGGACAGAUGCUCCUCCUAGAGUAUCCCCAAAUUCAUUAUCUAGUCGUGUUGCCAAUUCAGUUAAGGGUAAUUCAAAUCAAAUGCGCAAGAAGACUUGUUGAAGUUGAAGAAGGGGUCGUGGCUGUGCUUUUUGAAUUUCCUUCGCCUUGGAUGGGUUCUUUUUGAAAAACUUGUACUACAUUUGUCAAAAAUUGUUAAUUCUUUUUGUCUGACAUUUAGUAGCGUUAUUUAGACAAUUUGGAUGGUAUAUUAGCAGGUUAACUUGUGGUUGUAUUAGUAUACAUUUUUGCUUUUUGGUUGACGUUUACCAGCUUAACUUGUGGUUGUAUUAGGAGCUAAUUUUGAUGGUAAUUUUCAUAUUGGCAGGGUUAACUUGUGGUUGUAUUAUGUAAAAAUAAUAUGGAAGGUAUUUUUAUAUUAACUUGUGUUA